AGAGUUUGAUUAUGGCUCAGAACGAACGCUGGCGGCGUGCUUAAUACAUGCAAGUCGAGCGAGAAAGUCCCCUUCGGGGGGCGAGUAAAGCGGCGAACGGGUGAGUAACACGUGGGCAACCUGCCCUCGGAUUCGGGACAAGCUUCCGAAAGGAGGUCUAAUACCGAAUAUGGUCGUUUGGUGGCAUCGCCGAACGAGCAAAGGUAGCCAAUACUCGUAUGCUAUCGUCCGGGGAUGGGCCCGCGGCCCAUUAGCUUGUUGGUGAGGUAAUGGCUCACCAAGGCGACGAUGGGUAGCCGGCCUGAGAGGGUGAUCGGCCACACUGGGACUGAGAUACGGCCCAGACUCCUACGGGAGGCAGCAGUAGGGAAUAUUGCGCAAUGGGCGAAAGCCUGACGCAGCAACGCCGCGUGAGCGAUGAAGGUCUUCGGAUCGUAAAGCUCUGUCAGAGGGGACGAACCGUCCCGCGUCUAAUGAACGCGGGAUCUGACGGUACCCUCAGAGGAAGCACCGGCCAACUCCGUGCCAGCAGCCGCGGUAAUACGGGGGGUGCAAGCGUUGUUCGGAUUCACUGGGCGUAAAGAGCAUGUAGGCGGGUCGGCCAGUCCCGUGUGUAAUCUCCCGGCUCAACCGGGAAACUGCACGGGAUACUACUGAUCUUGAGUGCGAGAGAGGAUGGCGGAAUUCCUGGUGUAGCGGUGAAAUGCGUAGAUAUCAGGAGGAACACCGGUGGCGAAGGCGGCCAUCUGGCUCGACACUGACGCUGAGAUGCGAAGGCCGGGGGAGCAAACAGGAUUAGAUACCCUGGUAGUCCCGGCAGUAAACGUUGGACACUA
rnacentral:rRNA from 1 species